CAUGGCAGCACGGCAGCACGGCUCCCCCCCGGCCCGCUCGCCGCUUAAGCGGCGGCGCUUGAAACCCCUCCCCGGGCGGGCCCAGGCCCGGCCCGCCCCCGCCCCCGGCUCCCGCUCCGGCCCCGAAACCCGUCCCGUGGGGCCAAGCCCGCAAUCCCGGCACCGCUUUUCCGCUGCUCGCCGAAGCUGCCGUCCCGAGCGCUGCGGCAUCACCCUCUGCCUCCACAGCCGGUGCCUCUCUGCGAGGUGCAAUGCGCGGCUCGGCCACAACACGGUGGUUUUAAACGGGCAUCGAGAGGAACGCGAGGCCCCGAGGGAGGUGCUGCUCGAUGAGGCCUCCAGCACCAUCACACCUGCCUCAAAGAUGCCGUCUCUCCAGCAGCAUACUGGGGUACGCUGAGAAAUCUUACUCUAGUUGCCUCCAGGCUGUGUAACCGGGGGCCUGAUGUCGCAGUGGGCACUGAGAGAUGGGUUCAUCAGUGAUCGCACAGUGCUUGGCCAAAGCAGUGAGGCCACCAUGGGACCCCCCCCCCCCGAAGGAGUGGGUCAAAAAGAAGGUGAAGAGUUACAGGUGCGUCAUUUAUAUGAGGUCAUCCUGGAAAGGUUUCUGUUUGUCAGUGUUACAAAGCAUCUACUCUGCAGAAAGAGACCAAUGGUUUUCUCGUUGAAAUGCUCCCAAGACCUUGAUUUAGCUGUUAUGAAAGAUGUUUUGUUAAUGAAUAUCUGGCAUUGUUUUCAACUAAAUAUUCUGUCACCAAACUUUGAUUAAAAAACUUGUUUUAUAAAUUUUAAUAGCUAUUUCUUUAGGAAACAGAGGGAUAAAGAAACUAUUUCUGUAGGAGCAGAGGGAAAUGUCACUAAUUUAAACUGCUUUUUUUCCUUCGUUGCUGUUGUUAUCAUAUGUUCAGCAAUGAUUGUUGAAAAUCCACAGAUUUGUCUGAUUUUAUGCAUCUAGAUAUAUAAAUGACGGCAUCACCAUCUCUGCCCUUUUGUCUCCAUACUUUGUAUACCUCUCUUCCUUUUGGUUUCAUUAAAUUGACUAUAUUUUGUGUUUUAAACCAA